UACGAAGGGGGCUAGCGUUGCUCGGAAUGACUGGGCGUAAAGGGCGCGUAGGCGGAUGGCACAGUCAGAUGUGAAAUUCCCGGGCUUAACCUGGGGGCUGCAUUUGAUACGUGUGAUCUAGAGUGAGGAAGAGGGUCGUGGAAUUCCCAGUGUAGAGGUGAAAUUCGUAGAUAUUGGGAAGAACACCGGUGGCGAAGGCGGCGACCUGGUCCUUGACUGACACUGAGGCGCGAACGAGCGUGGGGAGCAAACAGG
rnacentral:rRNA from 1 species